rnacentral:lncRNA from 1 species
UUGCUCUAUGCUCAAUCCUGCUCUCAACCAUAGUAACCUCGAACGAUUGAUCACAAUCAAAUUGGUCGCCAGCCUCUUACAGGUUUGAGAUGACAGCUUCAUAGGAGACAAAUAGCUUAGAAGGUUGAAGGGAGGAUAAACAGAUAAACUCAAGGGAUCAGCUUUAAAGUCCCUGUGCAUUUCAUCAAAAACAAUGUGGGUAAGAAACUGCUGCUAAUUUUGGGGGGAAAAUGCCAGUUUAUAUCCAAAAUGAGGUGAAAAAGAUGGUCUAAAAUAAAGAAAGAAGGGACCCAAC